rnacentral:rRNA from 1 species
UACGUAGGGUGCAAGCGUUAAUCGGAAUACUGGGCGUAAAGCGUGCGCAGGCGGUGAUGUAAGACAGGUGUGAAAUCCCCGGGCUUAACCUGGGAACUGCAUUUGUGACUGCAUCGCUGGAGUGCGGCAGAGGGGGGAUGGAAUUCCGCGUGUAGCAGUGAAAUGCGUAGAUAUGCGGAGGAACACCGAUGGCGAAGGCAAUCCCCUGGGCCUGCACUGACGU